AACACUAUAAUUUAAGGUUUGCAACCUCCCUUGUAAUACCUAAGAAUUUUUUCCAACAAUCUCGUCUCUUCGAUCUAUCCUCCCAAGUAUAUAUACUUCAAUGGAUUUACCCAUACAGGGAAGUCCCUCUAUAACUCAGACAACAUCUACUACAAUCUAACAAAUUUAAUCAAGAUCAUAUCCUGGACCUACUCCAAGAAGCUAACCAUUACAAACUAAAGAACUGUAUGACUAAAACAUGAUAGGAACAGGUUCUUUGUUGCAGCAACGACUUCUUUGCGACUCUUCGUGCAGAUAUGAGAACAGUCUGAGGGCUACAUUUUUG
rnacentral:lncRNA from 1 species